UCCCAUUUUUUUUCCUUUUUAGCCAAAGAUCCUAUUUUUCUUUUCUAGACGAUUGGCUUUUAAUUAGAAGGCAAUGGAAGGCAAUAGGUGGAUGGCGCACUUACCUUCUUUUCGUGCGGGGAAUCUGGGAUAGGCGGCGGUGGGGCUGCCUCCGGUUCCUGGGCUUUGGGGAAGAAGGGCUUACAGAGCUCAUCCAGUUCCUGGAGAACGUUCUGGGUCUCCAACAUGUCCCAGAAAAAUAAGGGGAGGCCGCCGCCGCCGCCGCCGCAGGCAUCUCCUCCCUCUGCAGGCCAUGCCUCCUCC
rnacentral:lncRNA from 1 species